rnacentral:rRNA from 1 species
AGCGAAGCGACGUCAAAGCGUUCAUUAAAGUCGAGUUGGCUUAGGGAUACGUUCGUUGGGUAGGGGAGCGUUCUGUAAGCCUGUGAAGGUGUGUCGUGAGGCAUGCUGGAGGUAUCAGAAGUGCGAAUGCUGACAUAAGUAACGAUAAAGCGGGUGAAAAGCCCGCUCGCCGGAAGACCAAGGGUUCCUGUCCAACGUUAAUCGGGGCAGGGUGAGUCGACCCCUAAGGCGAGGCCGAAAGGCGUAGUCGAUGGGAAACGGGUUAAUAUUCCCGUACUUGGUGUUACUGCGAAGGGGGGACGGAGAAGGCUAUGUUGGCCGGGCGACGGUUGUCCCGGUUUAAGCGUGUAGGUGUGUGUUCCAGGUAAAUCCGGUUCACUUUAACACUGAGGCGUGACGACGAGGCACUACGGUGCUGAAGCAACAAAUGCCCUGCUUCCAGGAAAAGCCUCUAAGCAUCAGGUAACACGAAAUCGUACCCCAAACCGACACAGGUGGUCAGGUAGAGAAUACCAAGGCGCUUGAGAGAACUCGGGUGAAGGAACUAGGCAAAAUGGUGCCGUAACUUCGGGAGAAGGCACGCUGACACGUAGGUGAAGUGAUUUACUCAUGGAGCUGAAGUCAGUCGAAGAUACCAGCUGGCUGCAACUGUUUAUUAAAAACACAGCACUGUGCAAACACGAAAGUGGACGUAUACGGUGUGACGCCUGCCCGGUGCCGGAAGGUUAAUUGAUGGGGUCAGCGUAAGCGAAGCUCCUGAUCGAAGCCCCGGUAAACGGCGGCCGUAACUAUAACGGUCCUAAGGUAGCGAAAUUCCUUGUCGGGUAAGUUCCGACCUGCACGAAUGGCGUAAUGAUGGCCAGGCUGUCUCCACCCGAGACUCAGUGAAAUUGAACUCGCUGUGAAGAUGCAGUGUACCCGCGGCAAGACGGAAAGACCCCGUGAACCUUUACUAUAGCUUGACACUGAACAUUGAGCCUUGAUGUGUAGGAUAGGUGGGAGGCUUUGAAGUGUGGACGCCAGUCUGCAUGGAGCCGACCUUGAAAUACCACCCUUUAAUGUUUGAUGUUCUAACGUGGACCCGUAAUCCGGGUUGCGGACAGUGUCUGGUGGGUAGUUUGACUGGGGCGGUCUCCUCCUAAAGAGUAACGGAGGAGCACGAAGGUUGGCUAAUCCUGGUCGGACAUCAGGAGGUUAGUGCAAUGGCAUAAGCCAGCUUGACUGCGAGCGUGACGGCGCGAGCAGGUGCGAAAGCAGGUCAUAGUGAUCCGGUGGUUCUGAAUGGAAGGGCCAUCGCUCAACGGAUAAAAGGUACUCCGGGGAUAACAGGCUGAUACCGCCCAAGAGUUCAUAUCGACGGCGGUGUUUGGCACCUCGAUGUCGGCUCAUCACAUCCUGGGGCUGAAGUAGGUCCCAAGGGUAUGGCUGUUCGCCAUUUAAAGUGGUACGCGAGCUGGGUUUAGAACGUCGUGAGACAGUUCGGUCCCUAUCUGCCGUGGGCGCUGGAGAACUGAGGGGGGCUGCUCCUAGUACGAGAGGACCGGAGUGGACGCAUCACUGGUGUUCGGGUUGUCAUGCCAAUGGCACUGCCCGGUAGCUAAAUGCGGAAGAGAUAAGUGCUGAAAGCAUCUAAGCACGAAACUUGCCCCGAGAUGAGUUCUCCCUGAGACUUAGAGUCUCCUGAAGGAACGUUGAAGACGACGACGUUGAUAGGCCGGGUGUGUAAGCGCAGCGAUGCGUUGAGCUAACCGGUACUAAUGAACCGUGAGGCUUAACCUU